CAACAGUGGGCUCAAACAUAGCAACGACUGUGAGGAUGGCACAGGACUGAACAGUAUUUUGUUUUGUUGUACAUAGGGUCACUGUGAGUCAGAACUGACUCGAUGGCAUGUAACAACAAUAGCUAUUAAACCAUGAUAAUUUUCAAACUCUGAUAAUGAAAAUUAAUCAUACUGUAAUGCAAGAAUAUACUCUUACUUUUUGACUAUAGGGUCACUAUGAGUUGGAAUCGACUGGACGCCAAGGGUUUUUUUGUUUUUGUUUUUUUGACUAAAAGUCAACGUUAAGAAGAAGUUAUACCUUUUAUCAGGGAUGACCCAGUGUGAUCCAGGCCCGUAAGGAAAACUAUUCAGUAGAUGACUGUUGAGCAAUGAGUAGGCAUACAAUAAAUAUUUAAUUUAGUGAAUGAAACAUUAUUUCCUCAAAAGCACACUUAAAUGCCAGAUAACCAUCUUUGGGAAUUUAUCACUGGUUUGGAAGCACCCAUUGAAACCAGGAGUAUAUAUGGGUAACAGUGUUCUGUACGCAUUAUGAUAGAUUAUAUUGACACAUUGACAUCUGGAACAAAGUUUAGCAUUUUCUGUUUUUGUCUUUAUACUACGUAGUUGGUAAACUUCUGAAGAGACAUGAAUCUAAUUUUCAUAUGGCCAUUUAUUCAUUCAACAUACAUUUACUGAGUAUCUCCUGUGUGUCACAUACUGUGCAAGGUGGUAGGGAUUUAUCCAUCAUUCGACAUAUUCAUUAAGAGUCUACUGUGUGCCAAACAUCAUUUACAUUCUGGAUGUAGCAGUGAGCAAGACUGUCGUAUUGUCUUAUGCUGUUAUUAAGAAAUACUUUACUGUCAGCAUUUCCAAAAAAUUUUCUGUAGUUGGGGAAAGAAGGACCCAACUUUAUUUUUUUUUUUCUUAAAAGAACACAAAUUUAUUACUUUACAGUUUCAUAGAUCAGAAGUCCAGUAUGGGUCUCAAUGGGCUAAAGUAGAUGUGUCAACAGGGCUGUUUCAUUGUGGAGGUUCUAAGGGAGAAUCUGUUUCCUUGCCAGCUUUUAGAGCUGCCCACAUUCCUUGGUUAGUGAGUCCUUCCCGUCGUCUUCAAAGCCAACAAUGGAAGCUCAAGUCCUUUUCACUUCAUAUCUCUCUGACCCUUCUUCUGUAGAAAGUCACAACUCUCUAACCAUAGCUGGGAAUGGUUCCCCAAUUUUAAGAACCCAUAUGAUUAGAUAGGACCAACCCAGAUACUCCAGAAUAAUCUCCACAUCUCAUAACCCUUAACUUUAAUCACCUCUGCCAAGUCCCUCUUGCCGUGUCAGGUAACAUGUUCACAGGUCCCAGGGAUUAGGACAUGGACAUUUUGUUGAGCCACUAUUCUGCCUACCACAAGCCAUAUUUUUUUCUAUAUUCAUUAAAAAAAUAUUCACUGUUGCAUUCUAAGAUAAUAACUAAGCAGACUUCAUUAUUUUGUCUUCUAGUAAAACUUAAUUUAGAAAAUUCCAUGCAUCAAUGUUCAAAUAGCUUAAAAGUUACAUAUAGCACCUAAAGAGAGAGAUUUUUUUUCUUUGACUAUAUGUCUAUACAUUGUUUAUAUAAAAUGUAUGUAUGUGUGUAAUUUAAGGGGAUAUGGUUUAUUUUAUUUCUGAAAGUUUAAAUAUGUUUGUUAUGUUUUCUAAGCAUUUCUUCUUCAUAGAAAGUCUAAAAAUCUAUUCUUACCCAAAAAAACAGAGCUGGACAAGGGGUGGAGCCAAAUAAAGCAUAGACCAUAAGUCUCCUCUGCCUCGUCAGACCAGGCCACUUGGGACUUCCCAGGCAGAUGAUGACACAUCAUGUCCCUUGUAUUUCUCAAGAGCCCCGCGCAAGAAACUGUAGAGCUGCACUGACCAGUAAGACGCUCAUUUUAAUUGCCUAGAUCAAGAAGCAGUGGCAGUGAGAUCACUGAUGGGUGGUGAACUGCCUCUGCCUGCACAUGUGUUUGUCUCAGCUGACAUUCAGAUGUCUCGAACAAAUGCUUUAUAUAAAGGAAACAGCUUUGAAGCUGGAGGAGUCUCUUCAAAUUGUAUGCAAUAUAAAAAUUGAUCAAGAAAUAAAAAAUAUUAAAAAAAAUUUUAAGGUAUCAUUUCAACCUUCUGACAUUUUGAUGAAAUCUAACAUCCAAAAACUAGAAUCAGUGCUGCCGAUAAAGAAAGGCUAAAUGUUUGUUUCUAACAAGCCAACUAUUACUGUUCCUUUUUUCAGUUAGUUUCUGGACUGUGUUUAAUCAUGAGCUGUAUUAAUGUUAUGUUCUAUAUUCUGGGUUAUGUGGAACUUUGUGAAGGUGUGUUUUGUACCAAAGGCUCUCAUACAUAAAUUAGUCCAUUUACAUAUAAAUAAGUGAAAUCUACACUGUGCCCAGAUGAAUGGUAUUAAAGAUAGACUUGCCUAAAAGAUAUGUGCCUUGCUCGAUUACACAUUUUUUUUUUUUGAUUCAAAAUAGUAAGUUUGCAAAUUAGGCUUGUAGGUAGGUUUUAGAUGAGCUGAGCUUUAUAAAAAUAGAUUGGUAGUCAUUCAUUAUAUGCUUAAGUUAUUUAUCUUAACUAAAAUGUUAGCGUUUAGUUAUACUUUUCAACCAUUAUAUAAUACACUCAUACAGUUUCAUUUUCAUGGGAUGUUUGGUGUAGCUAUACAAAACACAUUCUUAAAGAUACAUACAAUAUUUCAUCUAAUGUUUAUAGCAUUUCCUUCAAAAUUCUAUUUGUAAAAGGUUUCUUGUAUCAUCUUCUAUUUUUAUAUUCUGUUAGAAAUCUUUUGAUAAAUAAAGUUUUAGUUGGAAAAGAGGUUUAGAAGGUUAUAAAAUGUGGUUUCCCAUUUGGGGGCAUUUCACUUCUGUGCCAUUAUUAAUGUAUUUACUGUGACAUUUCAGCAGAAUGGUAGCUAUUUGUAUAUUAUUUAAUAAGCCUUAUGGAAAGUCAAACUGUGAACACUUAGUAUAAAAAAAGACUCUUUUUCAUUUCUAUAUUUUAUUUUCAAAUGCAUAAAUACCUGAAUGAAUACAUAAAUAACUUAUUUCCUGUUAUUCAGAUGCACAACAAUGUAAGUUAUAAGAGCACUUACAGAAUUAUGAAAAUAUUUUGUCAGCAAAGCCAAGAUUAUAAUACUCUGAUACCCUAUAGAAGGAAAUACCUGUGAUGAAUUUCAUUGUUAAAUAUGUAUGUGUGUGUAUAUGUAUAUAUGUAUAUAUAAUAUAUAUGUGUAUAUAUACAUACAUAUGUGUGUGUAUACAUAUGUGUGUGUGUGUAUAUAUAUACAUAUAUACAUUUCUUGUUAAUUUUAUUAAAAACCAAUGCCAAUGUUUUUCACAGACUCUGGGGGAACAUGUCUACUAUAUUAAGUGGAAUCAUCAGACCUGGGCAAUUGAAAAAAAGAAUCAGUAACUGAAACAAUCUUAUACCCCCCGAAACGAAAUACAUGGAUAGGAGCUAUCCAGGUUACUUUUUUUUGCACAAUCUGCCGGUAAUUUCUCUGUUGUCAAAACUUUGAGACCAGAUCACUGUAAGAAUAAAGUAAAAGGGUGACAGUUACCUCAGAUUUGAACUAUGUGACCCUCCAAUCUAGAUGAUUUGUGGUUAAAGUGAAAAAUAUACCCACCACCUUGCUUUUGUUCUGUGUUAACCCAUAUAGUAGAGGCCCUAGGCCAGAGAAUGGUUAAUCGAUUUCAGUCAACUUCAUACUGUAACUAAUGAUCGCAGCCUGGCCAGCAGUAAAGUGAUUCACAUCAGCUAUUGGAAUGAAUGAAACAAACUGAACAGCUGUGCCAUAGGGGGUCUUAGACAUUCAGAUGUAUUAGUAAGGAUCAGUAUGUGUUGUAAAAAUCGACAAACUACCUUCAUAAAACACCACUGAUACAACUUUAAACACUGUAGUAUACUUAAUAUCAUAUCUGCAUUAUCACAGGCCACAGUUUCAAAUAAAGACAAGACCUGGACUUCUGGGAUAAACAAAAGCACAGGAUAGUACAGAUGAGUAAACUGUCAUAUCAAAGAUGGUUCACAGAAUGGGUAGUAAAAAGAAUCUAGAUAUCAGGAGACCAGAAUUUUUACCCACUUUCUACCUGUGGGACACUAGAGAAGUUACUUACCAUUACUAGGCUUCAGUUUCCUUAAUUGCAAAAUGGGUACACAGAACCCUUUCCAACCUAAAAUCCUCAUUAUACACGUUUGAAAGAUGCUUUGAAGAAUAGUUAACUACUCAGAUGUUCUUACGCAUUUCAGAAGGAAAGAAUAAAUUGAAAUAAGGUUUAAGCCCUGGAAGUAUCAUAAAUAUAUCUUUCUUCAAAUUGAUUGUGAGAAGAGGAAAUAGGAUUUUUUCUUCUCUAAGAAUUGUCACUGAUCUAUAAUAGGAUCAUGAAAAAGAAAAAUCACUCUGCACAAAUGGAAGCAAAUGAAUAAAAUAGCUGAAAGGGGGAUAUUAGUUAAUUUAACUAGAGGUUAAAGUUAAGGUAUGUGAAAUGCUAAGACAGUAGGAGAACUUUAUUGCACACUUAACAUAUAUGCCUGGGCUGUGUGGAGUGUUUGCCUUACUGUCUCUUGAUUUUUUUCCCAAGGAGCAGUUCAUCAGAACUUAAGCAGAUGCCUGUGCUUUAGUGCUGGCUCUGCCAGUAACUCUCAUGUUUCCUUGGAAAGUCCCUUUAACCUCUCUGAGCCCCAGUUUCUUUACCAGCAAAGUGAAGACUUUCAAUUUAGUAAUUUGUAAAGUUCUUUCCAUCUUUGAAAAUUCUGUAUCUUCAGAUUGUUAUACAUACACAUGUACAUGUUGCUCCCCUCUAGUCACUAAGAUGCUGUAUAUCUCUAGUGAAUGAACAGAUUUCUAAGAUUUAUAAAGAGUUAGUUACUGGCAAUUUUGCAGAUUCAAAUAUUGAUAUUUCUAAUACUGCUAAGUGGCUUCAGCACAAUAUAAGAACAAGAUAUUUUAAAAAAUGUAAUUGCUUUUAAUUUUGACCAUGAUUUAGUUAUUAUGGUUUAUCAUUUCAUCUUUUGAGUGUUGAGAUAGUUAUCAAAAAAAGUCUGUUCAAGUUAAUCUUCUAUUUAAAUUUGUGUAAUAAAUAGCAAGUCAGAAUCAAAUGUAAUUACCAUGAACUGUAGCCAGUUGAUAAGGUGCAUUUUAUCACAUUAAAAAGUUAAUGCCAUCUGAUCCCAGCAGCAAUGAUUGUAAUUUAAAAUAAUAUUCACAAAAUGUUGUGAAAUGUUUGUGAAUACAGCUGAGACCUGAUAUGAGCCAUACUGUAGUUAAUUUUGCUCAGGAGUGAGAAACAAGAUUCAGGGACAGCCCAAACUCUUUUGUUUGGCUUUAGUGGACAGUUGAAAAGAGAAGAGAUGUAGCUUUUGUUUAUACCUACAAAAUAAGUAAGAGGUGACUACACCCAUUGGAAAACAGAAGUAUUUUCUGGUUGCCUAUUUUUGGUAGACAGAGAUUAGGCAAGACGGAUGCUGAUAUUUGGACACUAGAGAAAUCGUCAAAAUGACAGCUGUCCAUUUGAAUAAUACAGAAAUAUUUUGUCAUACCGAGAUUAUUUGUCCAGAGGUUUAGUCUUAUAUCACUUCCAUUCAGAAAGGGGGGCAGUUUUUAAAGGCCUCUAUCAUAAUAGGAAAUGUAUGUUUUGACUAGUGAAGCAAAUCAUUAAAACAUUUAGUCUGGUAACUUCAUUUUGUGAAUAUGAAUUUUCACUUUUGGUGUAAUUUAGUGUUUUAUGUAUUACUGUUAGUGAUCUUUGUGAGAAGUGAUUUUAUCCAUUUUUUUCAAAGUUGGUGAAAUUUGCUAAAUGGUGAUUCUAGCAUAUUGUGUUAGUGCUGUAUCUUAACAAUAAUUUGUGAACUGACCAUACUAAAACAAACCAUAGUAGUAUCUCUUCUGGUAAAUUGUUUCCAUAGUGUGGUCUGUUAAUGCUGGGUUUGGGGGUGGGGGGAGGUUAAGUAUUUAGUUUUCUUAAAAGUAACUGUCAAAGUGUUUUUCCUAAAUGCCAUAAAAUUGUAUAACUGUAAACCAAAUAAGAAUAUCCUCUUUAAAAACUUUAAGUGCACUGUAUAGACCAUUUUUGGAACUACCACAUAAAAUGGUAUCUUUUCUGUUUCAAAGCUCCUACACAUAUAUACAAGGGAAAGCAAACUAAUAGUGUAUGUAGUAUUUCUAUAUAAUAUGCUAAAUGUUAUAAUAAGAAUCCAUUUUUGAAAUCUUACACAGAUAGAUGGUAAUUAUGCAGAGGUCAGAAGAACAAAAAUACAGAGCCUCCAUUUUUUCCAUAGAAAUGUAUAACAUAUGUUUAUUGCCUUGUAUUUUGCAAAGAUCGUUCAUAUAUUUAAUCGUUAAAACAUAAACAUCCAUACAAAGUACUAAUACUCUCUGAAGUUUAGAAAUUAAGGAACCAAGAUUUAAAAAGAUCAAGUGACUUGCUCAAGACACCAUGGCCAGUAAAUGGCUCUAAAUCUCACGUUCUUUACACUAUUUACCCUCCGUCAUGUUAUUUUUAUCCUCUCACUGUGAUUGUCUUUACAUUUUUGAUUGAAAUUUAACUUUAAAUGAUACAUUGGGAAAUUUAGGGGUUUAGGUAAAAGAUAUUGUUGCUGUUAUUGCCUUCCUCACUGAUCCUUCCAGUGUCCUUUUUUAAAAAAUCCAUCAUAAAUGACUGAUUUCUGAACAGUUGAAAGAAGCAAUAAUCAGCCCAAGAAACUGCAACCAGUCUGAUUCAGAGAAAAAAAUAUGGUCAAACCCACCAUACUAAUCAUUUUCAACCUAUUAUUUUUCAUCACGUGUUCUGUGAUUAGGGGACAGCAGGAAAGGGAGAGUGAGGAGAGAAACUGUCUUUUUUUAUUUUAAGAAAACUCAGUAUUUCCUCAACUAUUAAAAAAGAGAGGAGCCCCGGUGACGCAGGGUUAGGCACUCAGCUGCUAACAGAAAGGUCAGCGGUUCGAAUCCACCAGCCACUCCACAGGAGAAAUAUAUAGCAGCCUACUUCCAUAAAGAUUACAGCCUUGGAAACCCAAUGGGGCAGUUCUGUUCUGUCCUAUAGGGUCCCUGGGAGUUGGAAUCUACUCAACAGGUUUGGUUUUUGUUUGUUUUUUGGGUUUUUUUGGUUUAUUUUAUUAAAAAAGAAUCGGUCAUCAAUCAUGUCAGCAUUAUUAACAUUUAGCCAUAGUUCAAAGUUUACCCACAAAUUUUGAAAUCUAUUUAAGGAUUUUCCCAGGAAAAAUUAAAAUGUGAUGACCACUCAGUUUGAAUAUGGGAAACAUUCAUUGUUAAUCCAUGACAUAGUACUACAUUUUUAUUCUUUUCUCAAACCACAGAUAGACACUGUUACUGCUUUCCCUUGUAAGUCAACACAGUCUGUGAUACAUUCUGUACUUUUAAAGACUAGCAAUGCAGUGUUACUGUGAAUAUUUAAAUAGAACAUAUGCUAUAUUAUAUCAGAAUUUAAAAUUUUCUAAGCUUAUAUUUAGUUUCUACUCAUCAAAAAGAUAAGUAAAGCAAGUAUUAUUUUUUAUGGAACAGAAUAAUAAUCAUUCUUAAACAGUGAUAAUAACCAAUCAUAGAAUUCUGAACUAAGGUGUAAAAUCAACCAUAUUUUUUUUCUAUAUUUGUCUUCUUUUGACAUUUAAUCGUGUUGAUUUGUCACAUAUUAAUGUAAGCUCUUAUAUCAUGUUCUCUAAUGUUUUCAUAAUAAUUUUGGGCCUUCUGUUAGGUAAAUAUCAGUAAAUACCUGUGAGUUUUGAUUGUGAUAUAUUUUUUAAAGUUUUCAUUGGAUUUAAAGUGUUUUCAUUGCAAAUGUUAUAUGUAGAUUUCAAUAAAAUAAAGUACCUC